rnacentral:RNase_P_RNA from 1 species
GAGUUACGGUGAAACGCGGCAACCUCCACUCGGAGCAAUCCCAAGUAAGCAAAUGUUGACAUGGCCCGUCGAGUUUGCGGGUAGGGAGCUUGAGCCUGUAGGUAACUGCAGGCCUAGAGGAAUGAUUGCCCCUUAAUGCAAAUUAGGGCGACAGAAUCCGGCUUAUCGGUUAACUCUGCAC